rnacentral:rRNA from 1 species
ACGGGUGAGUAACACGUAUGCAAUCCACCUGUAACAGGGGGAUGACCCGGAGAAAUCCGGACUAAUACCCCAUAAUAUGGGCGCUCCGCAUGGAGAGCCCAUUAAAGAGAGCAAUUUUGGUUACAGACGAGCAUGCGCUCCAUUAGCCAGUUGGCGGGGUAACGGCCCACCAAAGCGACGAUGGAUAGGGGUUCUGAGAGGAAGGUCCCCCACAUUGGAACUGAGACACGGUCCAA